rnacentral:rRNA from 1 species
AAUUGUUCCUCGUUAAGGGAUUUAAAUUGUACUCAUUCCGAUUACAAGACCCGAAAGGGCCCUGUAUCAGUAUUUAUUGUCACUACCUCCCCGUGUCGGGAUUGGGUAAUUUGCGCGCCUGCUGCCUUCCUUGGAUGUGGUAGCCGUUUCUCAGGCUCCCUCUCCGGAAUAGAACCCUAAUUCCCCGUUACCCGUUGAAACCAUGGUAGGCCACUAUCCUACCAUCGAAAGUUGAUAGGGCAGAAAUUUGAAUGAACCAUCGCCGGCACAAGGCCAUGCGAUUCGUAAAGUUAUCAUGAAUCACCAAGGAGGCCGAAGCCAUUGGUUUUUUAUCUAAUAAAUACAUCCCUUCCAGAGGUCGGGAUUUUUAGCAUGUAUUAGCUCUAGAAUUACCACGGUUAUCCAUGUAGUAAGGUACUAUCAAAUAAACGAUAACUGAUUUAAUGAGCCAUUCGCAGUUUCACUGUAUAGAUUGCUUAUACUUAGACAUGCAUGGCUUAAUCUUUGAGACAAGCAUAUGACUA